GACGAACGCUGGCGGCGUACUUAACACAUGCAAGUCGAACGGAAAGGCCCCCUUGUGGGGUACUCGAGUGGCGAACGGGUGAGUAACACGUGAGUAACCUACCCUUGACUUUGGGAUAACUUCAGGAAACUGGGGCUAAUACCGGAUAGGAGCUCCUGCUGCAUGGUGGGGGUUGGAAAGUUUCGGCGGUUGGGGAUGGACUCGCGGCUUAUCAGCUUGUUGGUGGGGUAGUGGCUCACCAAGGCUUUGACGGGUAGCCGGCCUGAGAGGGUGACCGGCCACAUUGGGACUGAGAUACGGCCCAGACUCCUACGGGCGGCAGCAGUGGGGAAUAAUGCACAAUGGGCGGAAGCCUGAUGCAGCAACGCCGCGUGCGGGAUGACGGCCUUCGGGUUGUAAACCGCUUUCGCCUGUGACGAAGCGUGAGUGACGGUAAUGGGUAAAGAAGCACCGGCUAACUACGUG
rnacentral:rRNA from 1 species